rnacentral:lncRNA from 1 species
GGAGUGGGCUAAUGCGGUCUGGAACGCUCCAGACUCGGCGAGGGACCACUACCCAGAGUUCACCCGUCGCUUUCGGGCUGUUUUCGACCACCCCCCCGAAGGUAGAGCGGCGGGUGAACGGCUGUUCCACCUCAGGCAGGAGACGAGGAGCGCUCAAGACUUCGCGCUGGAGUUUAGGACCUUGGCUGCUGGAGCGGGGUGGAAUGACAGGGCCCUCAUAGACCACUACCGGUGUAGUCUCCGGGCGGACGUCCGCAGGGAGCUGGCCUGUAGGGACACCAAUCUAUCCCUGGACGAACUCAUUGACAUGUCCAUACGGUUGGACAAUUUGCUGGCUGCCCGCGGGCGUUCGGAGAGGGUCCUGCCCGUUCCACCCCCGUGCACCCCCGCCCCUACCCCUAUGGAGGUAGGGGGGGCCAUGCCAAGGGGCACCGGAGGAGGUGGCUCCUCCUGCACCAGCUGUGGUCGGAGAGGACACACGGCCGACCGGUGCUGGAGGAGCCAGUCUGGGAGUCGAGAAGGCAGGCAGAACACUUCUCGGUCACCUCAGUGUGUGCUAGGGUACCAGCCGGUCCUGGCCCCAUGGCACCAGAGCCAGACCGAGGCUCCUGCGGUGGAGGACUGGGUUCAGCACUCCAAGGAGACCUGGAAAGCAGUACAGGACUCACUGAAGGAGGCCAGUGCUAGGCAGAAAAGGAGUGCUGACCGCCACCGCAGUGAGGCGCCGGUGUUCGCACCGGGUGACAGGGUCUGGCUCUCGACCCGGAACCUGUCUCUCCGCGUGCCCUGCCGGAAGCUGGGGCCGCAGUGUGUGGGGCCCUUCAAAGUCCUGAGGAGGAUAAACGAGUGAAGCCCGGUCGCUGUGUCCUGCUCAAGGGGACCUACAUGUGUGCCGAGUACUGUUACAAAGAUGGCCAGUGCCCCGAGGAACAGAAGUGUUUCCGGAUAUGUUGAUUCUACGCCUGCAGUGAGCCAUUGAAGCUUUAUUGGAAAUUCUUAUUAGUUAUAAGAAAUAACUAGAAAAUUCAAAUUAUUACAUGUACAAUUAUGUCUAUGAAAACUGAUGACUUUAUGCAAUAAUAAAUAUGAAAAAUAAUCAUAGCUUUUAUGGAAA